rnacentral:rRNA from 1 species
AAAAAGCGGAGGAAAAGAAACCAACCGGGAUUGCCUUAGUAACGGCGAGUGAAGCGGCAAAAGCUCAAAUUUGAAAUCUGGUACCUUCGGUGCCCGAGUUGUAAUUUGGAGAGGGCAACUUUGGGGCCGUUCCUUGUCUAUGUUCCUUGGAACAGGACGUCAUAGAGGGUGAGAAUCCCGUGUGGCGAGGAGUGCGGUUCUUUGUAAAGUGCCUUCGAAGAGUCGAGUUGUUUGGGAAUGCAGCUCUAAGUGGGUGGUAAAUUCCAUCUAAAGCUAAAUAUUGGCGAGAGACCGAUAGCGAACAAGUACAGUGAUGGAAAGAUGAAAAGAACUUUGAAAAGAGAGUGAAAAAGUACGUGAAAUUGUUGAAAGGGAAGGGCAUUUGAUCAGACAUGGUGUUUUGUGCCCUCUGCUCCUUGUGGGUAGGGGAAUCUCGCAUUUCACUGGGCCAGCAUCAGUUUUGGUGGCAGGAUAAAUCCAUAGGAAUGUAGCUUGCCUCGGUAAGUAUUAUAGCCUGUGGGAAUACUGCCAGCUGGGACUGAGGACUGCGACGUAAGUCAAGGAUGCUGGCAUAAUGGUUAUAUGCCGCCCGUCUUGAA